CAAUGAGUAUGGUGUUGCCUGGUGUGGUUGGAUUCAAGCUGUCUAGAAAAUUAAACAAUGGUGUCACAGCUACUGAUUUGGUUUUAACUGUGACCCAAAUGCUAAGGAAGCAUGGUGUUGUUGGUAAAUUUGUUGAGUUCUAUGGAGAAGGCGUGGGUAAAAUAUCAUAAGCUGACAGGGCCACUAUUGCCAAUAUGUCUCCUGAGUAUGGUGCAACAAUGGGGUUCUUUCCUGUUGACAUGGUUACUUUGCAAUAUCUGAAAUUGACUGGAAGAAGUGAUGAAACUGUGGCAAUGAUUAAAGCAUAUUUGCGUGCAAAUAACAUGUUUGUUGACUAUAAUGAGGUAAGACUUUCUCCCUUUCUCUUCUCAUAAUUUACUCCUGUAAGUUCCAUUUGGGAUAUAACUAUUUGCCUCUAUUUAGCUUUUACGAAAUUUUUAACUUACAUUGGUUUUAAUAGUAUUUCCUAGAAUUAAACAAAUUUAUAUCGACUGUAGACUCAUGUAUAUAUCAACCGUCACAGGGAAAUCUUAUUUCGACUCCACCAACCAGUGGGACUAUUCUUCCAGGGAUCACACGAAAAACUGUCAUCGAUAUUGCCCGUGAUCAUGGGUUCCAGGUAGUUACUUGCACAUAGGCUUGGUUAUGUUGUGCUAAAAUAUGUUCUUUAGAUUGGAAUUUGGCUCGUAAGAAACUAAAUACUCUCUCUGUGUUUGUAAUUUGUUAUGUCAAUUUCUUGAAUAUGGUAUUAAAGCUCAUUAAGAAUGUACAUGAAUGAGGCGUGUGGUUGUCUAACAUGGUGAGGCAAUUUUUGACCUGGUUCUCAUUAAGAAUGUACAUGCCUUUAGAUUUGUAUUUGCAUUCAUGUUAACAUAGUAAAUGUGUGUUUUAGUUGCCUUUGUUACUGAUGGUGUGACAUGUGUGUAGGUACUUUUCUCUUUGUGCUUUGGCAUUAAUAUUCUUAGUAAUUUUUUGUAGUUUAUUUUUCUUUUUUCAGAGAAACAUUACGUUGAGUAUGACAUGGGAUUGUGUACUUUCUAGUAGUUUGAAAUAUUCAAGGUUAAUUUGACCUAAUGUGACUAUUUAAAAUAACAUUCAGUAGCUUGAACUUCUCAUAUUUAUUUU